rnacentral:snoRNA from 1 species
CCAUGGGUUUGGACUUAUGUCAGGCCUGACUGACUCUUUCAGCUUUAGUGUCCCUUGGUAGAACAAACUCUGCCUUCUGCAGCCUGCCUCUCCCUGUAAGGUACUGCACUGAGAUGGGUUACAUGUUG